rnacentral:lncRNA from 1 species
AUGCCAACUGGGAGGAAGAUACCCCAAGAAGCGAGACACAGAAGCUCAUGCCCCAUCACAGGAGUCUGUCUCAAGAGAGAAUGUCUUGUGGCCUUUUUUGCACCUUCUCCCAGGAGCAAUAAAAGAUGUCUCCAUGCUGAAGGAGCAUGUGGUCUGGUGGGGAAGAUGCACAUAGAUGAGAGGACGGGCAUCUGUGACCCUCAGAAGCACCUUCCUGUUUCACAGGCCUUGUCUGACCAGCAGGUACUCAUUUCAACUUUUUGGAAGUUACAUGACUUUGGAAGGCGGAAGCCCUCUCCAGUUGCAGCCAUUUAUGUUGACUUAUACCCACUUUCUUCACUCAUUUAUACAGUGUACCUGACCCCUGAAAGGCUCUGAGUUUUAAACCCUGAAAAUGAACAGCAGGAAUUUCCCUGGUGCUCCAGAGGUUAAGAAUCCAUGCUUCAGCUGCAGAGGGCACAGGUUUGAUCCCUGGUUGGGGAAAUAAGAUCCUGCGAAGUGAGGAAAAAAAUAAAUAAAAAUAAAAUAACA